CAGUAACAUCACACAAAAUAUAAUAGUUGAUAUGCAGAAAGCACAUCAAGUACUGUUUGAAUUGAACACAGACCUACUUUCACAUAGAAUAGAAAAAUAGAAGGACACAUAGGCCUUAGGCAACAGUUUCAAUGGCAGUUUCUGAAGGCUUCUUUUCAGGCUCAGCUGAGGCAACAGUUUCAGUUUCUGAAGGCUUGUUUUCUGAGGCAACAGCUGCAGUUUCUGAAGGUUUAUGAUUUUCAGCUAAGGCAACAGGUGCAGUUUCUGAAGGCUUGUCUUCAGGUGAUGCUUCAUCCACCCAGAAUGCAGUCUUCUUCCCACUUUUGGAGACAGCUUGCAGAACUUCAUCUGGCUGAAGAUUUCCCUUCACUGUCACCUUCUGCUCCUUCAGAUCAAUGUCAAAUGACUCGACACCUAUAAAUAUUAACACCAUUAUUUUGAUAUAACAUUGCAGAAAUUUUGAAGGAUAAAAGGGCCAUUAACACAGCUAAAAGGAGGUCAAUCUUAUACUUGUUUCUUAUUGGAAAGUAGAAGUAUAACUUCCCAUUUUCUCAUUCUAAGAAAUGAGUAAAAACGUGAACAUUCAUUUUGCCUAGAAAAAUAAACAAAAUGUGAAGAAUACAAAUGAAACUAUAUGAGUACAAAGAAAAAUUAUUCUUCUCUUUUAGUCAAGAAACAAGAAACAAGACACAAAUCAUUUAUUUUAUGAAAAACCUUUGCAGACACAGCAUAUUAAAAUUCGAGGCAGUAUGUUUUCUUCUUCCAUCAACAAAAACCAUAGAAGCAAAUUAACCAAGAGACUU
rnacentral:lncRNA from 1 species